rnacentral:tRNA from 1 species
UUUAGAGUGUAGUGUAAUGAGGUAGCACGAAGAAUUUUGAGUUCUUAAGAGUAGGUUCAAGACCUAUAACUCUAG